rnacentral:rRNA from 1 species
AGGACGAACGCUGGCGGCAUGCUUAACACAUGCAAGUCGAACGAGAAAGCUUCUUCGGAAGUUAUUAAAGUGGCGCACGGGUGAGUAACGCGUAGACAAUCUGCCCUUCAGUCCGGGACAACUUUCCGAAAGGGGAGCUAAUACCGGAUAACAAUGUUUGACAUAAGUUGAAUAUUUGAAAGCUCCGGCGCUGAUGGAUGAGUCUGCGUCCCAUUAGCUUGUUGGUGCGGUAGUGGCGCACCAAGGCUACGAUGGGUAGCGGGUUUGAGAGGACGAUCCGCCACACUGGAACUGAGACACGGUCCAGACUCCUACGGGAGGCAGCAGUGGGGAAUAUUGCACAAUGGAGGAAACUCUGAUGCAGCAAUGCCGCGUGAGUGAAGAAGGCCCUUGGGUCGUAAAGCUCUUUUAUGGGGGAAGAUGAUGACGGUACCCCAGGAAUAAGCACCGGCUAACUACGUGCCAGCAGUCGCGGUAAUACGUAGGGUGCGAGCGUUGUUCGGAAUUACUGGGCGUAAAGGGCGCGCAGGCGGAGGUGCAAGUCGGAGGUGAAAGCCCGGGGCUCAACCCCGGAGGGUCUUUCGAAACUGCAUCUCUAGAGAGGGUCAGGGGCCGGCAGAAUUCCUGGUGUAGAGGUGAAAUUCGUAGAUAUCAGGAGGAAUACCGGUGGCGAAAGCGGCCGGCUGGGGCCACUCUGACGCUGAGGCGCGAAAGCGUGGGGAGCAAACAGGAUUAGAUACCCUGGUAGUCCACGCCGUAAACGAUGAGCACUGGACGUUCGGAGGGUUCGACCCUUCUGGGUGUUUCAGCUAACGCAUUAAGUGCUCCGCCUGGGGAGUACGGUCGCAAGACUAAAACUCAAAGGAAUUGACGGGGGCCCGC